rnacentral:rRNA from 1 species
CCGGAAUUGCUAGUAAUGGCAGGUCAGCACACUGCCGUGAAUACGUUCCCGGGCCUUGUACACACCGCCCGUCACACCAUGAGAGUUGGAAAUACCCGAAGCCUGUGAGCUAACCUUAUAGGAGGCAGCAGUCGAAGGUAGAGUCAAUGAUUGGGGUGAAGUCGUAACAAGGUAGC